UGGGGAAUAUUGGGCAAUGGAGGCAACUCUGACCCAGCAACGCCGCGUGAAGGAAGAAGGCCCUCUGGGUUGUAAACUUCUGUUGUAUAGGAAAAAGAAGUGAUGGUACUAUACGAGGAAGCCACGGCUAACUACGUGCCAGCAGCCGCGGUAAUACGUAGGUGGCAAGCGUUGUUCGGAAUGACUGGGCGUAAAGGGAGCGUAGGUGGCUAUUUAAGUCAAAUGUGAAAGCCUAUGGCUUAACCAUAGAAGUGCAUUUGAUACUGGAUGGCUGGAGUGCAGGAGAGGUAAUGGGAAUUCCUAGUGUAGCGGUUAAAUGCGUAGAGAUUAGGAGGAACAUCAGAGGCGAAGGCGCAUUACUGGACUGUAACUGACACUGAGGCUCGAAAGCGUGGGGAGCAAACAGG
rnacentral:rRNA from 1 species